rnacentral:rRNA from 1 species
AUGGUGCGCCAAGUAUCAAGAAAGAUUCAUGCGAGAAGAACGCCAGGUGUUUUCAUCAAACUGAACAUUUCCCGUGCGUUCGAUUCUAUCUCCUGGCCUUUCCUUUUUGAGGUGAUGAAAGCAAAAGGUUUUGGGCAAAAGUGGUUGGACUAGAUGGCGACGCUUCUAUUUAUAGCCAGUACCAGGGUGGUGGUCAACGGGGUACCAGGGAGGAAGAUAAUUCAUGCUUGUGGCCUAAGGCAAGGGGACCCAAUUUCUCCCUUGCUAUUCGUGAUACCCAUGGAGGCCCUUUCGGCCCUGGUGCAGAAGGCCACAGAGGUGGGAGUUCUUACCUCUUUUGACAGAAUCUCAUCAACACAAAGACUGUCCAUUUAUGCCGACGACGUCGCCAUGUUUACUAGACCCACAGAGACCGACCUGGCAGCUGUCACCAAGAUUCUAAGGGCAUUUGGAGCAGCGUCGGGUCUCAAGGUGAACUACCGCAAAUCCACGGCUGUGCUCAUACGAGGUAGUGAGGAGGAUAGGGCCAGGGUUGCUGGAUUGCUGCAAUGCAACAUCUCAGAGUUCCCUUGCCGAUAUCUGGGACUGCAACUGGCGAUAAAGAGCUUGACUAGAGCAGAAUGGCAACCGGUGCUGGACAAAGUACGACACUUCAUGCCUGCUUGGCAAAGAGGGCUGAUCCAGAGGCCCGGUCGGCUUAUUCUGGUGCAGUCGGUUGUGGCGGCAUGA